GACACAGCACUGUCCUUACAAAGCUACCAGCCUCACGGAGAAGGCGCAGUCCCUGUCCACAGAGACACAGCCUUGCCCCAGUUACUGUCCACCUGCAAGAGAUCCACAUUUCUGCCCUCCAGAGCUCCCAAACUGAUGGGGGAGAGAGACAUCAUCCCCCAGCUCUGGGAGUUUCCAGUCUGAUGGAGGAGGCAGAGCCUGCUUCGGUAACUCUCACUCUGCGGGGGAAGACUCAGCCCUAUCCAGGGAGCUCUCACACUUUCAAUGGGGAGGCCCACCCAGCGGCCCACCGGUUGGGCGAAAGCCCGCACUCGCGCUAUGCCUGUCCAUCAAAGCCACCUCGACUCUUGAUUGGUAGCGACAGUAACAGCCCCCGCGGCCGUUUGCCGUAUUCCCGCCCUGCCUCAAGGACGUACCAUUCGGAGGUCCCGUUUGUUCUCCUGGCCAAGAUAACUUUGAUCUGAUAGAUCUGAAAAUGUCUAAUUUCAGGCUGGGCACAGUGGCUCACACCUGUAAUCCCAGCAUUUUGGAAGGCUGAGACAGGAAGAUGGCUUGAGGAAAAGAAUUUGACCAGCCUCGGCAACUAUCAAGACCUCAUCUCUACAAUGAAAAAACAUUUUUUUUUCAUUAGUCAGGUGUGUGGUAGCACGUCUGUAGUCCUAUGUACGUGGGAGGCUGAGUCGGGAGGAUCCCUUGUGCCCAGGAGUUUGAAGUUACAGUGAGCUGUGAUUGCGUCACUACAUUCCAGCCUGGGUGACAGAGCAAGACGCUGUCUUUAAUAAUAAUAAUAAUAAAAUUU